rnacentral:pre_miRNA from 1 species
UUUGUACUCCCUCCGUUUGGAAUUACUUGUCGCAGAAAUGGAUAUAUCUAGAUGUAUUUUAGUUCUAGAUACAUCCAUAUCCGAGACAAAUAAUUCCGAACGGAGGGAGUAAAAA